rnacentral:rRNA from 1 species
AACCGUGCCGUAUGCAGGGGGACGAACAGUCAGAAAUAGACUGCUAAUACCGCAUAAGCACACAAUGCUGCAUGGCAUGGUGUGAAAAGAUUUAUCGGCAUACGAUGGCCCGCGUCUGAUUAGCCAGUUGGCAGGGUAAUGGCCUACCAAAGCAACGAUCAGUAGCCGGCUUGAGAGAGUGACCGGCCACAUUGGGACUGAGACACGGCCCAGACUCCUACGGAAGGCAGCAG